rnacentral:rRNA from 1 species
AGGACGAACGCUGGCGGCGUGCUUAACACAUGCAAGUCGAGCGGUAAGGCCUUUCGGGGUACACGAGCGGCGAACGGGUGAGUAACACGUGGGUGAUCUGCCCUGCACUCUGGGAUAAGCCUGGGAAACUGGGUCUAAUACCGGAUAUGACCUGCUCUCGCAUGGGGGUGGGUGGAAAGAUUUAUCGGUGCAGGAUGGGCCCGCGGCCUAUCAGCUUGUUGGUGGGGUAAUGGCCUACCAAGGCGACGACGGGUAGCCGACCUGAGAGGGUGACCGGCCACACUGGGACUGAGACACGGCCCAGACUCCUACGGGAGGCAGCAGUGGGGAAUAUUGCACAAUGGGCGAAAGCCUGAUGCAGCGACGCCGCGUGAGGAUGAAGGCCUUCGGGUUGUAAACCUCUUUCAGCAGGACGAAGCGCAAGUGACGUACCUGCAGAAGAAGCACCGGCUAACGUACGUGCCAGCCAGCCGAC